GGAAUUGUGCCCGAAGACCCAAGGACCACUUUGAUAGAGUGGCUUAUGGGGGUUAAAAUCCCCCCAAUUCCU
rnacentral:tRNA from 3 species